rnacentral:snRNA from 1 species
AUACCUUUCUCGGCCUUUUGGCUAAGAUCAAGUGUAGUAUCUGUUCUUAUCAGUUUAAUAUCUGAUAUGUGGUCUAUCGGACCACACGAUAUUAACUCUAUUUUUUAAGGGAAAAAGCCCAUUAAAAUAGCUUGCUAUCUGGGUUUUCAUGAGUCGCCCUUGCGUUGCACUAUUGCAAGGGCUGGCUCAAGUCUC